rnacentral:lncRNA from 1 species
UCGGAUCCGAAUCGAAUCCAUAUUUUGUGGAUCAGGACUGGGUUAUACAUUGAUCCAUCCCAACCUGAAUGAUCUGUUGGAUCAAAAAAUUUGAUUAUAAAUCCGAUCUGACUUGAUCUGAUAUUCUAUUGGACUGAAUUUAGAUCCAAUAUUUAGAUCCGAUCAAAAAUUAGAUCGGAUCGGGAUCACUCAUGAUCCGAUCCGAU